rnacentral:tRNA from 1 species
AGAAACUUAGGAUAACAUAAACCAAGGGCCUUCAAAGCCCUAAAUGGGGGCUCAAAUCCCCCAGUUUCUG